rnacentral:rRNA from 1 species
AGUGAACGCUGGCGGUAGGCCUAACACAUGCAAGUCGAACGGCAGCACAGUAAGAGCUUGCUCUUACGGGUGGCGAGUGGCGGACGGGUGAGGAAUACAUCGGAAUCUACUUUUUCGUGGGGGAUAACGUAGGGAAACUUACGCUAAUACCGCAUACGACCUACGGGUGAAAGCAGGGGAUCUUCGCACCUUGCGCGAUUGAAUGAGCCGAUGUCGGAUUAGCUAGUUGGCGGGGUAAAGGCCCACCAAGGCGACGAUCCGUAGCUGGUCUGAGAGGAUGAUCGGCAACACGGGAACUGGAACACGGUCCAGGCUCCUACGGGAGGCAGCAGAGGGGAAUAUUGGGCAAUGGGGGCAAGCCUGAUCCAGCCAGACCGAGUGGGUGAAGAAGGCCUCCGGGUUGGAAAGCCCUUUUGUGGGGAAAGAAAAGCAUCAGGUUAAGACCCCGCUGUUCUGACGGUACCCAAAAAAUAAGCACCGGCUAACUUCGU